rnacentral:rRNA from 1 species
CAGUAGCCGCGGUAAUACGAAGGGUGCAAGCGUUAAUCGGAAUUACUGGGCGUAAAGCGUGCGUAGGCGGUGAGUUAAGUCUGCUGUGAAAUCCCCGGGCUCAACCUGGGAAUGGCAGUGGAUACUGGCUCGCUAGAGUGUGUCAGAGGAUGGUGGAAUUCCCGGUGUAGCGGUGAAAUGCGUUGAGAUCGGAAGGAACGCCCGUGGCGAAAGCGAGGUCCUGGACCCUUUCUGACGCUGAGACGCGAAAGCCAGGGGAGCGAACGGGAUUAGAUACCCCCGUAGUCCCUGUCUCUUAUAC